rnacentral:rRNA from 1 species
UACAGAGGGUGCGAGCGUUGUCCGGAAUCACUGGGCGUAAAGGGCGCGUAGGCGGCCUGAUAAGUAGGGGGUGAAAUCUUGCGGCUCAACCGCAAGGCUGCCUUCUAAACUGUCAGGCUGGAGCACGGUAGAGGCAGAUGGAAUUCCCGGUGUAGCGGUGGAAUGCGUAGAGAUCGGGAAGAACACCAGUGGCGAAGGCGGUCUGCUGGGCCGUUGCUGACGCUGAGGCGCGACAGCGUGGGGAGCGAACCGG